rnacentral:rRNA from 1 species
UACGUAGGGUGCGAGCGUUGUCCGGAAUUACUGGGCGUAAAGAGCUCGUAUGUGGUUUGUCGCGUUGUUCGUGAAAACCGGGGGCUUAACCCUCGGCGUGCGGGCGAUACGGGCAGACUUGAGUACUGCAGGGGAGACUGGAAUUCCUGGUGUAGCGGUGGAAUGCGCAGAUAUCAGGAGGAACACCGGUGGCGAAGGCGGGUCUCUGGGCAGUAACUGACGCUGAGGAGCGAAAGCGUGGGGAGCGAACAGG